rnacentral:rRNA from 1 species
ANUAGCCAUGCGAGUCGAGAGGGUUCGGCCCUCGGCGAACUGCUCAGUAACACGNUGGANAAUCUAACCUUAGGUGGAGCAUAACCUCGGGAAACUGAGAAUAAUACUCCAUAGAUCUUUGAGGCUGGAAUGCGCUUAGAUUGAAAGCUUCGGCGCCUAAGGAUGAGUCUGCGGACUAUCAGGUAGUAGUCAGGGUAAAGACCUGACUAGCCUACGACGGAUACGGGUUGUGAGAGCAAUAACCCGGAGAUGAUAUCUGAGACACGAUAUCAGGCCCUACGGGGCGCAGCAGGCGCGAAAACUUCACAAUGCGCGAAAGCGCGAUGAGGGGAUCCCAAGUGCUUGCACGUAAGUGUAAGCUGUUUUUCUGUCUAAAAAGCAGAGAGAGUAAGGGCUGGGUAAGACGGGUGCCAGCCGCCGCGGUAAUACCUGCAGCUCAAGUGGUGGCCGCUAUUAUUGGGCCUAAAACGUCCGUAGCCGGCUGAGUAAAUGCCUGGGUAAAUCGUGUGGCUUAACCAUACGAAUUCCGGGUAGACUGCUCAGCUUGGGACCGGAAGAAGUUAGAGGUACUCCUGGGGUAGGGGUGAAAUCCUGUAAUCCUGGGGGGACCACCAGUGGCGAAGGCGUCUAACUAGGACGGGUCUGACGGUGAGGGACGAAGCCCUGGGGCGCAAACCGGAUUAGAUACCCGGGUAGUCCAGGGUGUAAACGCUGCUUGCUUGAUGUUAGCUGGGCUCCGAGCUCGGCUAGUGUCGGAGAGAAGUUGUUAAGCNAGCUGCCUGGGAAGUACGGUCGCAAGACUGAAACUUAAAGGAAUUGGCGGGGGAGCA